AGCGAACGUUAGCGGCGCGCCUAACACAUGCAAGUCGCACGAGAAACGGAGCAAUCCGCGGUACAGUGGCGCACGGGUGAGUAACACGUGGAUGACCUUCCCUGGAGUGGUGGAUAACCUGCCGAAAGGCGGGCUAAUACAGCAUGGGACCACGACGCUUUGGCGAUGUGGUGAAAGCGGGGCCUCUAUAUAUAAGCUCGCGCUCCGGGACGGGUCCGCGUCCCAUCAGCUAGUUGGUGAGGUAACGGCUCACCAAGGCAACGACGGGUAGCUGGUCUGAGAGGAUGGCCAGCCACACUGGAACUGAGACACGGUCCAGACUCCUACGGGAGGCAGCAGUGGGGAAUCUUGCGCAAUGGGCGAAAGCCUGACGCAGCGACGCCGCGUGGGCGAAGAAGGCCUCGGUU
rnacentral:rRNA from 1 species